rnacentral:rRNA from 1 species
GAUGAACGCUGGCGGCGUGCCUAAUACAUGCAAGUCGAGCGAACAGACGAGGAGCUUGCUCCUCUGACGUUAGCGGCGGACGGGUGAGUAACACGUGGAUAACCUACCUAUAAGACUGGGAUAACUUCGGGAAACCGGAGCUAAUACCGGAUAACAUGUUGAACCGCAUGGUUCAACAGUGAAAGACGGUUUUGCUGUCACUUAUAGAUGGAUCCGCGCCGCAUUAGCUAGUUGGUAAGGUAACGGCUUACCAAGGCAACGAUGCGUAGCCGACCUGAGAGGGUGAUCGGCCACACUGGAACUGAGACACGGUCCAGACUCCUACGGGAGGCAGCAGUAGGGAAUCUUCCGCAAUGGGCGAAAGCCUGACGGAGCAACGCCGCGUGAGUGAUGAAGGUCUUCGGAUCGUAAAACUCUGUUAUUAGGGAAGAACAAAUGUGUAAGUAACUAUGCACGUCUUGACGGUACCUAAUCAGAAAGCCACGGCUAACUACGUG